CGAAUGCCUUAUUUGACAUUUUCACGUAGUGCAUAAUGAAUUAAUUUUUGGACAUAUUUGCAGCUAAUGUUAUUUUGUGACUUCAUGUACAAACCACUGAAAAUGAUGUAAGGCAGAAUGAGAGCAACACCAGACGUCGAUUUUUAUAUCCAAAGACUUGUGAGGAUAAAACAAAUCUUGUGCAAAAAGAAAUAUAUAAAAACACCAAAAACAAAACUCACAACGAGCAUUGUCAACCAAAUUGGUGCUAGAGGAGACAACCCAAAACAUGAAACAAAUGGUUGUGAAAUAAGAUUCUGGUAGUGUAAAAUUAAUUUAAAAGUUGUUUUUUUUUCUCCAGAAACCGUCUUGAUGAGUGAAGAAAUUAUUGUAUUGGAAGGUGAACUUAAUAAAAUUGUUUUCUGUAAUUGUCA